rnacentral:lncRNA from 1 species
CUUCGCAGGAGCAGGAGCGUCCAUCGCCGCGCUUCUGCAAGUGCGGCUGGAAGAACAGGCUUAAAGCGCUCCCCAGAGACCUGGGAUCUCUCUGGAAAAUCAAAGCGGAUGCUUUGAGGCUCCAGCUGCUGCAGAGUGGGCAGGGGCAUUCCUUGGCAUGUGGAACAACUCUUGAGAGAACAAGGACAGAAAAAGCUGAGAUGGCUGCUCUCACAGCCCUCUGCCCAGCAGGUCUGAUGACUCUCACUACGGGAACACGUGUUUGCCACUGCAGGCCUUGAAUGUCUUAUAAAACUCACAAUUUGUUCAAAAGAAUAAACAGCAUGAAAGGGGAUGCGGAGCC